UGCGGCAGGUGAUGAUACUUUGUGUUAAAUGGGAAUCUCUCUGAUUUUGUUGAUGAGCAACAUUCUGAUGCUGCA